rnacentral:rRNA from 1 species
UACAGAGGGUGCGAGCGUUAAUCGGAAUUACUGGGCGUAAAGCGUGCGUAGACGGUCAAGUAAGUCGGGUGUGAAAGCCCCCGGGCUCAACCUGGGAAUUGCAUUCGAGACUGCGUGGCUAGGGUGCGGAAGAGGGAAGCGGAAUUUCCGGUGUAGCGGUGAAAUGCGUAGAUAUCGGAAGGAACACCAGUGGCGAAAGCGGCUUCCUGGUCCAGCACCGACGUUCAGGCACGAAAGCGUGGGGAGCAAACAGGAUUGAG